rnacentral:rRNA from 1 species
ACACAUGCAAGUCGAGCGAGGACUUCGGUUCUAGCGGCGGACGGGUUAGUAACGCGUGGGAACGUGCCCUUUUCUACGGAAUAGCCUCGGGAAACUGAGAGUAAUACCGUAUACGCCCUUCGGGGGAAAGAUUUAUCGGAGAAGGAUCGGCCCGCGUUAGAUUAGAUAGUUGGUGGGGUAAUGGCCUACCAAGUCUACGAUCUAUAGCUGGUUUGAGAGGAUGAUCAGCAACACUGGGACUGAGACACGGCCCAGACUCCUACGGGAGGCAGCAGUGGGGAAUCUUAGACAAUGGGCGCAAGCCUGAUCUAGCCAUGCCGCGUGAGUGAUGAAGGCCUUAGGGUCGUAAAGCUCUUUCGCCUGUGAAGAUAAUGACUGUAGCAGGUAAAGAAACCCCGGCUAACUCCGUGCCAGCAGCCGCGGUAAUACGAAGGGACCUAGCGUAGUUCGGAAUUACUGGGCUUAAAGAGUUCGUAGGUGGUUGAAAAAGUUAGUGGUGAAAUCCCAGAGCUUAACUCUGGAACUGCCAUUAAAACUUUUCAGCUAGAGUAUGAUAGAGGAAAGCAGAAUUUCUAGUGUAGAGGUGAAAUUCGUAGAUAUUAGAAAGAAUACCAAUUGCGAAGGCAGCUUUCUGGAUCAUUACUGACACUGAGGAACGAAAGCAUGGGUAGCGAAGAGGAUUAGAUACCCUCGUAGUCCAUGCCGUAAACGAUGUGUGUUAGACGUUGGAAAUUUAUUUUCAGUGUCGCAGCGAAAACGAUAAACACACCGCCUGGGGAGUACGACCGCAAGGUUAAAACUCAAAUGAAUUGACGGGGACCCGCACAAGUAGUGAGCAUGUGGUUUAAUUUCGAAGAUACGCGCAGAACCUUACCACACUUGACAUGUCGUCGCACUCUAAGAGAUAGAGUUUUCGUCGCGGACGAAACACAGUGCUGCAUGGCUGUCGUCAGCUCGUGUCGUGGAGAUGUUUGGGUU